UGUCUCAAAAAUAAAUAUUUAAAAAAAGUUUUUAAAGAAAUGAUCCCCUCCUCUUUGCCCUCCCAAAUCUGGAAAUCUGUACUCUUUGUGACUUGUACCUCCAGGAGCUUCUGGACAGUAGAGCUGAGGAAAGCAUGUCUACCUGCAUCUACAUAUCUGGUUACAGGAUCUACCCAGAGAUAGAACCUGAUGGACAAAGAGAAAAAAACUCCUGCUGGAAAUCACAGUAUGAGAAGUUACUACAUCAGACCUCAAAGAAAGAAUGCAGUCAAACCUCCGUGAGAAGGACCUUACUAGGUACUGUUAACAACUAACACAACAGGGAACCCAUGCCUCCCAAGUCAAAAGGCAUAAGCCACACGAAAUCCCUGGGACGCUGUCCUGAGACCUCACACAGAGAAAUCUGAGGAAUCAUUCCAGAACAGAUAACAGCAGGAAGUUGCACCUCCCACCCAAGACCAUUGGGACCGCACUGGUAACCACAGGAAGUGCCACCUUCCCUCAAGAUCCACCAGACAAGACCACCAGAGCCACCCGCUGCGGCGCUUUAACCGGCACGUGCUUUUGCUCUUUUCCUUUGUUCUUUCCUCUCUGCAAAGUUAAGGUUUCAGUUAUUAACACUUCUUGUCUGUUAACCAGGAUACCUCCAAGGUCUUUAUCUUUAAUACUCUUUGUUUGUUUGUUUGUUUGUUUGUUUGUUUACCUUAGUCACUCCUCGGUACAAGUCCAGUGCCCGGCUACAACAUGCAAUUAAUUACACUGUC